AACGAACGCUGGCGGCGGGCUUAACACAUGCAAGUCGAACGUGUGUUUUCGGGAAAGUCUGGCAGGAGGGUGAAUGAAAUGAGAGUAGCUAACGGGUGGUUAACACUUGAUCAGGGUACCUGGCGCAGGGGGAUAGCCUGUGGAGACGGCGAUUAAUACCUCAUGAGACGACAGAAUCGCAUGAGAUAGGGUUGAAAGAUUUAUCGGUGUAAGACGGGCUCGCGUCUGAUUAGCUAGUUGGAAGGGUAAAGGCCUACCAAGGCGACGAUCAGUAGCCGGUCUGAGAGGAUGAACGGCCACAUUGGAACUGAGACACGGUCCAAACUCCUACGGGAGGCAGCAGUGGGGAAUAUUGCACAAUGGGGGGAAGCCUGAUGCAGCCAUGCCGCGUGAGCGAAGAAGGCCAUAGAAUUGUAAAGCUCUGUCACCUGUGAAGAUAAUGACGGUAUCCUAGGAGGAAGCCCCGGCUAACUACGUG
rnacentral:rRNA from 1 species